rnacentral:lncRNA from 1 species
CCGCCUAUUCAAUGGAAUGGGGUUAGUGGUUAGAUAGGAUUUGAUUUUGUGGGGAUUAUUUUAUUUUUUAUUUUAUUUUUGAGAACUAAAUGAUUUUCCAAAAACCUCUCAUCUAUUUUCACGUUCCCCUUUUCUUUCUUUUUCUUUUCUUUUCAACAAAUUUAUUUUCUUUCCUUUCUUCUUCACAUGGGUUUUCUAUUUGUAAAAUCUCAAGUUGUUGCUUUCUUUUCUUGAUCUUUGCUGUCCCCAAAUUUUUUUGUUCUACCAAUCAAGUUCAAUAUUAAGUGUUGAUAGAAUAGAUUGUAAAUU